rnacentral:ncRNA from 1 species
UUCUUCGGGGCAGGGUGCAAUUCCCAACCGGCGGUAAAGUCCGCGAACUGAUCAUUCGGAGGAUAUCUGGUCAGAAAUCUAUGAACAAAGAUAAGUGAUAGAAAUUUAUGAACAGAUAUGGUAUAAGCAAUGGUCAGCCGAUCUGGUGAGAUUCCGGAACCGACAGUAAAGUCUGGAUGAGAGAAGGA